GGCUUCUUCAUUCCUUUGGGUGGCUCUCCACUUGGACAGGCUGCACGGGCUGGGUUUCAGUCCCCACCUGCUGAACCAGCACAACAGCUCAGAUCUGAUAACCACAUGGACCAGCCAGGGAGAUGGAAGGAAUCCGGAGAAAUCCAUGUCUGAUGGAGGACUUUAGAGUGAUGGACAACUUACGUCCAUGGCAAAGCUAAUACUGUUACCAGAAAAUAGAAACAGAAAGAACCUGGAUCCUUGAUCACUUCAUUGAACUGCUGGAUCAACUAAUUCUGAUACACACUUCCAAGCAUGCACCUGACGAAAAAUAUUUGAUACUCAGAAGCUUUCCCCCAACCUGAAGUGUGACUUUAUUUCAAUGAA